rnacentral:rRNA from 1 species
UACCAGCACCCCGAGUGGUCGGGACGAUUAUUGGGCCUAAAGCAUCCGUAGCCGGUUCUGCAAGUCCCCGUUAAAUCCAGCUGCUCAACAGAUGGGCCGCGGAGGAUACUACAGAGCUAGGAGGCAGGAGAGGCAAGCGGUACUCAGUGGGUAGGGGUAAAAUCCGUUGAUCCAUUGAAGAACACCGGUGGCGAAGGCGGUCUGCUGGGCAGUUGCUGACACUGAGGCGCGACAGCGUGGGAGCAAACAGG